UACAGAGGGUGCGAGCGUUAAUCGGAAUUACUGGGCGUAAAGCGUGCGUAGACGGCUAUCUAAGUCGGGUGUGAAAGCCCCGGGCUCAACCUGGGAAUUGCGAUGGAGACUGCAAGGCUAGAAUCUGGCAGAGGGGGGUAGAAUUCCACGUGUAGCAGUGAAAUGCGUAGAGAUGUGGAGGAACACCGAUGGCGAAGGCAGCCCCCUGGGUCAAGAUUGACGCUCAUGCACGAAAGCGUGGGGAGCAAACAGG
rnacentral:rRNA from 1 species